AUUGAACGCUGGCGGCAGGCCUAACACAUGCAAGUCGGGCGCGCGGCGGACGGGUGCGUAAUGUAUGGGGAUCUGCCUGAUGGAGGGGGAUAACUACUGGAAACGGUACCUAAUACCGCAUACCCUCAGUUGUACCCAUAUGGGAUUAGCUAGUAGGUUAGGUAAAGGCUCACCUAGGCGACGAUCCCUAGCAGGUCUGAGAGGAUGACAGGCAACAAUGGGACUGAGACACGGUCCAGACUCCUACGGGAGGCAGCAGUGGGGAAUAGUGCACAAUGGGCGCAAGCCUGAUGCAGACAUGCCGCGUGUAUGAAGAAGGCCUUCGGGUUGUAAAGUACUUUCAGUGGGGAGGCGUUACCGGCAGAAGAAGCACCGGCUAACUCCGUGCCAGCAGCCGCGGUAAUAC
rnacentral:rRNA from 1 species